rnacentral:rRNA from 1 species
UACGAAGGGUGCAAGCGUUACUCGGAAUUACUGGGCGUAAAGCGUGCGUAGGUGGUUUGUUAAGUCUGAUGUGAAAGCCCUGGGCUCAACCUGGGAAUUGCAUUGGAUACUGGCAGGCUAGAGUGCGGUAGAGGGUAGUGGAAUUCCCGGUGUAGCAGUGAAAUGCGUAGAGAUCGGAGGAACAUCUGUGGCGAAGGCGACUACCUGGACCAGCACUGACACUGAGGCACGAAAAGCGUGGGGAGCAAACAGG